rnacentral:tRNA from 1 species
CACUAAGAAGCUAUGAAUACGCAACAGCCUUUUAAGCUGUAAAUAGGUAGUUAAUCCUACCCUCAGUGA